UACGGAAGGCAGCAGUGGGGAAUAUUGCACAAUGGGCGCAAGCCUGAUGCAGCCAUGCCGCGUGUAUGAAGAAGGCCUUCGGGUUGUAAAGUACUUUCAGUCGUGAGGAAGGUGUUAAGGUUAAUAACCUUAGCAAUUGACGUUAGCGACAGAAGAAGCACCGGCUAACUCCGUGCCAGCAGCCGCGGUAAUACGGAGGGUGCGAGCGUUAAUCGGAAUUACUGGGCGUAAAGGGCACGCAGGCGGUUAAUUAAGUUGGAUGUGAAAUCCCCGGGCUUAACCUGGGAAUGGCAUUCAAGACUGGUUAGCUAGAGUCUUGUAGAGGGGGUAGAAUUCCAUGUGUAGCGGUGAAAUGCGUAGAGAUGUGGAGGAAUACCGGUGCGAAGGCGGCCCCUGGCAAAGACUGACGCUCAUGUGCGAAAGCGUGGGGAGCGAAACAGGAUUAGAUACC
rnacentral:rRNA from 1 species